rnacentral:lncRNA from 1 species
UGUAAAACAUACAAAUUUGAAGCAUAUGGGACAGCUCAAGUUUUGAAAUUAGCUCUGAUAUUGUCAGACAUCAAAGAAUUUAAUAUAUAUGGUAACUGGUUUUUACAUGAGUAUUAAAUAGUAAUACUAUUUACCAUAUUCUUUUGUACAUAGGAAUCACCACGUGAUUUUGGAGUAUAAACGAGAAAUGGGACCUAAAACUCCUGCUCAAGAUAGUAACCUAGGAAGGAGACAAAAAGCCAGGAAUGGAGGGAAAAGGAACCAGGACUGAUAUUAUGGAAAGUAUCCCACAAAAGCCACCAAAUCAUGACCAUUUUACUUCUGUUGAUGGAGCACAGAGCAAGAAUAGAUAUGCUAUGUUAUCAGCAUCAGGAUGAGAGGAGGAAGAAGUUGAAUCAUCUUUGGAUUCUGAGGUACUGUUUGCUAUUAUUGCUAUUAUGAUUAUUUUAAAUAGAAGCCCUGAGUGAUGGUAAAACAUGAGAGUGGGUGCUUUGUCUUUACUUUCUCACCUUUGCAUUUACCCAUCAGAUAUUUUUCAUUAUAGUUUUCAUUUAUAAUUAAUAAACUAAUUCUGUGUGAAAUACAAUACUACCACAUAGUACACAUCUCUUAAUUUGCAAAAUGCACCUAAUGAAAUCCCAGUAUAAUAAAGAGAAAAGAGUAAGGCUAGGAAGUUAUCAGGACUCAGGAUUUGCUCUGCAUUUAAGUUGAGCAUACUAAAUUUACAAUGUGUUAGUUUUAGCAGUGAUUGUUUUAUAUAUAUAUAUAAAACACACACACAUAUAGAUAUAUCUAUUUAGAUGUGUAAAAUGCC